rnacentral:rRNA from 1 species
ACGCAGUAUUGAUGAGGAACUAAGCAUACGAACAAGUAGGCCGGGACACGUGAAAUCCUGGUUGAAGAUGGGUGGACCAUCAUCCAAGGCUAAAUACUACUUACUGACCGAUAGUGAACCAGUACCGUGAGGGAAAGGCGAAAAGAACCCCGGAGAGGGGAGUGAAAUAGAACCUGAAACCGUUUGCGUACAAGCAGUGGGAGCAUGUCCUUGUGGCGUGUGACUGCGUACCUUUUGUAUAAUGGGUCAGCGAGUUACUUUCAGUGGCGAGGUUAACUGAAUAAGGAAGCCGUAGAGAAAUCGAGUCUUAAUAGGGCGGAAGUCGCUGUGAGUAGACCCGAAACCGGGCGAUCUAGUCAUGUCCAGGAUGAAGGUUGGGUAACACCAACUGGAGGUCCGAACCGGGUAAUGUUGAAAAAUUAUCGGAUGAGGUGUGACUAGGAGUGAAAGGCUAAUCAAGCCCGGAGAUAGCUGGUUCUCCCCGAAAGCUAUUUAGGUAGCGCCUCGUGAAUGAUUACUGGGGGUAGAGCACUGUUUCGGCUAGGGGGCUGUCAUGGCUUACCAAACCGAUGCAAACUCCGAAUACUGGCUAAUUGAAUCACGGGAGACACACGGCGGGUGCUAACGUCCGUCGUGAAGAGGGAAACAACCCAGACCGCCAGCUAAGGUCCCAAAGUUAUGGUUAAGUGGGAAACGAUGUGGGAAGGCCCAGACAGCCAGGAGGUUGGCUUAGAAGCAGCCAUCCUUUAAAGAAAGCGUAAUAGCUCACUGGUCGAGUCGGCCUGCGCGGAAGAUGUAACGGGGCUAAAACCAUACACCGAAGCUGCGGAUGUGCACUUAGUGCACGUGGUAGGGGAGCGUUCUGUAGGCUGAUGAAGGUGCAUUGAGAAGUGUGCUGGAGG